rnacentral:rRNA from 1 species
UACAGAGGUCUCAAGCGUUGUUCGGAUUCAUUGGGCGUAAAGGGUGCGUAGGCGGUCUAUUAAGUCAGUGCUGAAAUAUCCCGGCUUAACCGGGAGGGUGGCAUUGAUACUGAUGGACUUGAGUAAAGUUGAGGUUGGCGGAAUUGACGGUGUAGCGGUGAAAUGCUUAGAUAUCGUCAAGAACACCUAUUGCGAAGGCAGCUAACUAGCUAAACUGACGCUGAGGCACGAAAGUGUGGGGAUCAAACAGG